UACGGAGGGAGCUAGCGUUAUUCGGAAUUACUGGGCGUAAAGCGCACGUAGGCGGCUUUGUAAGUAAGAGGUGAAAGCCCGGAGCUCAACUCCGGAACUGCCUUUUAGACUGCAUCGCUUGAAUCCAGGAGAGGUGAGUGGAAUUCCGAGUGUAGAGGUGAAAUUCGUAGAUAUCAGGAGGAACACCGGUGGCGAAGGCGGCUAUCUGGACAGAGUCUGACGCUGAGGAGCGAAAGCGUGGGGAGCGAACAGG
rnacentral:rRNA from 1 species